rnacentral:lncRNA from 1 species
AAAUAUUAGCUUGAUAUUUUGAUUUGCAAUUUAAAAGAUGGAUAUAACCUCCGAGUAUUUUGUGAAAACACAUUUUCGGUAUUGAUGCAUUAGGAGCAUGUCUUUAAUUCGAAGUGACCAUCGUUAUAUCUUUAUAUCAUUUUUUUUACAUCGAUCUACAAGGAACCUGAAAUCCAUCAAUGUUACACAAACAAGUUUUGUUUGAAAAAUCUCACAUGAACAAAGAUCAAGGUUGUUAGAUGUUUUGCAUUGGAACUUGCUGUCUGGAGUAGCUAGAGUGGUCACGGGUCGACUGGAUAGAUUUAUGUUAUGGAUUUCUUGAUACUAUACUUUGGUUUUGAAACUGUUUAAUUUUGCUUCCGCUGAAUACUUUGGUUUUCACUUAAACUUGUUGAUGGUAUUCUAUUAAUAAUUAAGGAUUUUAUUUU